rnacentral:pre_miRNA from 1 species
ACGUUGACAAACCACCAGCGAGGUAUAGAGUUCCUAUGUACCAAUCUUUUGCUAGCCAUAGGAACUUCAUACCGUGCUCUUGGAUUGAUCUGA